UACGUAGGGUGCAAGCGUUAAUCGGAAUUACUGGGCGUAAAGCGUGCGCAGGCGGUUUUGUAAGUCUGACGUGAAAUCCCCGGGCUCAACCUGGGAAUUGCAUUCGAGACUGAAUAGCUAGGGUACGGUAGAGGGAAGCGGAAUUUCCGGUGUAGCGGUGAAAUGCGUAGAUAUUGGGAAGAACACCGAUGGCGAAGGCAGCCAUCUGGACCGACACUGACGCUGAGGCGCGAAAGCGUGGGGAGCAAACAGG
rnacentral:rRNA from 1 species